rnacentral:rRNA from 1 species
UACGUAGGUGGCAAGCGUUGUCCGGAAUCAUUGGGCGUAAAGAGCGUGUAGGUGGUCCGUUGCGUCGGUGCUGAAACCUCUGGGCUUAACCCAGAGACGCGUGUCGAUACGAGCGGACUUGAGGCAGGGAGAGGGUGGCGGAAUUCCGGGUGUAGUGGUGAAAUGCGUAGAGAUCCGGAGGAACGCCAGAGACGAAGGUGGCCGCCUGGCCCUCGCCUGACACUGAGACGCGAAAGCGUGGGGAGCGAACCGG